UACGUAGGGUGCAAGCGUUAAUCGGAAUUACUGGGCGUAAAGCGUGCGCAGGCGGUUUUGUAAGUCUGCCGUGAAAUCCCCGGGCUCAACCUGGGAAUUGCGAUGGAGACUGCAAGGCUAGAAUCUGGCAGAGGGGGGUAGAAUUCCACGUGUAGCAGUGAAAUGCGUAGAUAUGCGGAGGAACACCGAUGGCGAAGGCAAUCCCCUGGGCCUGCACUGACGCUCAUGCACGAAAGCGUGGGGAGCAAACAGG
rnacentral:rRNA from 1 species